GACGAACGCUGGAGGCGUGCUUAACACAUGCAAGUCGAACGAUGAAAUGGAGCUUGCUCCAUGGAUUAGUGGCGAACGGGUGAGUAACACGUGAAUAACCUGCCCUUAAUUUUGGAAUAACCCAGGGAAACCUGGGCUAAUACCGGAUAAGUAAACCUGUGGCAUCACAUGGUUUUGGAAAGUUUUUCGAUUAAGGAUGGAUUCGCGGCCAAUCAGCUUGUUGGUGAGGUAAUGGCUCACCAAGGCGACGACGGGUAGCCGGCCUGAGAGGGUGAACGGCCACACUGGGACUGAGACACGGCCCAGACUCCUACGGGAGGCAGCAGUGGGGAAUAUUGCGCAAUGGACGAAAGUCUGAUGCAGUGACGCCUCGUGAGGGACGAAGGUCUUCGGAUUGUAAACCUCUUUCAGCAGGGACGAAGCGAAAGUGACGGUACCUGCAGAAGAAGCACCGGCUAACUAUGUGCCAGCAGCCGCCGUAA
rnacentral:rRNA from 1 species